rnacentral:rRNA from 1 species
GUUGAACGCUGGCGGCGUGCCUAACACAUGCAAGUCGAACGAUGAAGCCCAGCUUGCUGGGUGGUUCAGUGGCGAACGGGUGAGUAACACCUGAGUAACUUGCCCUUAACUCUGGGUUAAGUCUGGGAGACUGGGCCUAUUACCGGUUAGGACCGACCACCGCAUGGUGGGUGCUGGAAAGCUUAAUCGGUUUUGGAUAGCCUCGCGGCCUAUCCGCUUGUUGGUGGUGAAAUGGCUCACCAAGGCGACGACGGAUAACCGGCCUGAGAAUGUGACCAGCCACACUGGGACUGAGACACGGACCAGACUCGUACAGGAGGCAGCAGUGGAGAGUAUUGCACAAUGGGCGCGAGCCUGAGGAAAAGGCGCCGCGUUAGGGAUGACGGCCUUCGGGUUGUAAACCUCUUUCAGUAGAGAAGAAGCGAUAGUGACGGUACCUACAGAAGAAGCACCGGCUAACUACGUG